UACAGAGGGGGCAAGCGUUGUUCGGAAUUACUGGGCGUAAAGGGCGCGUAGGCGGCCUGUUAAGUCGAACGUGAAAGCCCCCGGCUCAACUGAGGAACUGCACGGGAAACUACCUGGCUUGAGUUCGGGAGAGGGAAGCGGAAUUCCGGGUGUAGCGGUGAAAUGCGUAGAUAUCCGGAGGAACACCGGUGGCGAAGGCGGCUUCCUGGACCGACACUGACGCUGAGGCGCGAAAGCUAGGGGAGCAAACGGG
rnacentral:rRNA from 1 species